CGUCGCGCCCCACACUGCCCAGGAGGCACCCUGCCACGCCGCCGCCCCCGACGUAGGUGCCUGCCUCCGACGCCGCCGCAACCUGCUCAGGAGCCAGCCUGCCACGCCGCCGGUGUCUGCCAUCAACGUCCUGCUCAGCGUACGACGACGCCUACAAGCUGGUCAACAAAAUGUGGAUCAAGGGCCGGAAGCCUACAAGCUGACGACGACGCCUACCACCUGAACUGAACUCUGCGUUGCCGGAAGGCCGGAGCAGCCUUCAUCACCUGCAGAGAAGCUGGGCUUGGUGGGGCUUCAUGAACAGGGCGUGUGGGGAGCAACUCGCUGGCGGCUGGCCCACCUAUCUCUUCACUGUUGCCGGUGAGGCCAUCAACAGCUAGACCCGCACCACGGCGACUCCUUUGAGAUGACCGGCAAGCAUCCUGCAUGGUAGAUGUGGUGGCCAGCUUUCUUCUAAUUAGUCAUGCCUGUGUCAAAGGCUCGGUCAUCCAGAUUUUAAUCUCAGCUGCUCUAGCUUCCAUGGAACUUGGCACCGAUAAAAAUCUCUAUGCACUGGUUUUUGGAGAAUCAGUUUUAAAUGACGCUGGAUGCAGAAACUUUUCUUUACUCAAUAUCCUUUUGUUUAAAUUAAUAAAUUAGUUCUGCUCAUGCUUACAUAACUCUUUUGCCCUUUUGUGGUCUGUUAAUUAAGGUGGCUAUAUCCUUAAUUAACUGGCUUCUUGCAGGGUCUGUUAAUAUUUUGUUGUAAGAUCUGUGGUCCUAAGAUAUUAGUUUGUGCAUAGCUUCUGAAUUAUCACUAUAAGUUAUUUAUGAUUUAACUGGCUUCUUGCAGGGUCUGAGAGGACUUUAUGCAGGCUUUUAUCCUACAGUUCUUGGAUCAACUGUAUCCUGGCUUACCAGACCAUAUGGGAAUGAACUUUGAUCAAUCUUGUGUUUAAUCAAUUUAUUAUUUUCUUUGGCCGAAUUAAUUGACAACCUUAUGGUGGGAUUAAUUGGAUAUUAUGGUUCUUGGCCAUUUUGCCAUUUAGGUAAAAAGAAAUAGUUUUAUACUUUACUCAAUUGUCCAUCUAUAUUAUAGAUAAGAAUUUAUGAUGAUAAACAUGUUAUGAUGCACAUGUAUUCAUCAGUUACAAACAAUAAUGUUUCAAGCUAACAGAUUAUAUCAAAGAUAUGUUCAGAUGCUGACCAAUUUCUAUAACUUUAUUUUGUAAUACUAUACUUGCAGAAAUGGAUGGAUCACUGAUGUUUUAAAUUUUCUAAAAUGUCAAAUCGAUAGAGAUUGAAGCUUUCUCAUGCACAAGGGAAUAGUUAUUUUGUUGUUGGUUGCCUUCUAUUCAUCAGUAAUGUGGUGUUAUAAGUGGCCCUAAUUCACUCUAUUUUGAAAUGCUUAAAAGAAUGUUAGAACAGAUGCUAGAUAUCUUUUCUGGGAGGAGUGCUCCUUUGGACAAUAUCAUGGCUAGGUGUGAGUGUAUGCAAGAAAUGUUGUUUCAAUAUCAUUUCUCAAAAUCUAUAUUCUUUGCGUAUUAGUAUAUAUUUGAUGAUUUCCUCAUGUCAAGUCCCAUAUCAUUCUCCCAUGUCCAUUUUAAUUAAUGGUUCAUUAUAUAUAUCAUAGGUCCAUGUUGCCACUCAUUUAUUUUGGUGAUGCAUGUGCAUAUGUUUGCCUUCUACUUGGAGUUCCCAGAAGCAGAGUAUGUUGUUUGAGAUACAAUGCAUUUUUAACAUGCAGAAAUCUCGACCAGGUAGCACUGAUAUAAGCAGGGUGAGAUGUACUUCUGUUCUUGAACCUAUAAGCCUUCAAUUUUAUUUUUAGCAGUACAUGUAUGCUUAUGUGGUAUCAUUAUCCCUUUGGCAUACAAAAUAAGCAGUGUCAUUGAUUAGGUUGAAUUCCAUCGCCUCUUUUCUGUCUCCAACUUUUGGAACCCUUCUUUUCAUUUUUGAAUUUUUACUUAUUUCUUUUGGUUUUUGUUCAAGAAUAGAUGUAAGCUUCUUCAAUAAUUAGAUUGUGUUUGUCACUGGCACAAAUGAAAAGCCAACAUAAUAGGAAAUAGUAAAAUGUGUUCCUGCAGUGUGAUAUAGUGUAUAGGCACUUUGCCUGUUUGCCACAUUCCCCCUUUUCUAUUGUCUUGAAAUUUUCCAACUGCAGAACUGUGUCCUAGGUUGUGUGUAAACAUGAUUGGUGUAUUUGUUCCACCUAUGAUAAAAUAUUGAUGGAGAGAUAUAGGGAGCAGAAGAAGGACUUGCACAUGGUCUUUAUUGACCUCGAGAAGACGUAUGACAAAGUACCGUGAAAUGUCAUGUGGUGGGCCUUGGAGAAGCACAA